GAAAUGCGAUAAGUAAUGUGAAUUGCAGAAUUCCGUGAAUCAUCGAAUCUUUGAACGCACAUUGCGCCCUCUGGCAUUCCGGGGGGCAUGCCUGUCCGAGCGUCAUUACGCACCCUCAAGCCCGGCUUGUGUGAUGGGCCCCGGCGUCUCGUUCGCGAGACGGGCCCGAAAGGCAGCGGCGGCGUCGACCCGAUGUGCCCGAGCGUAUGGGGACUUCUGUCACACGUUCGCGGUGCGGACCGGCGCCUGCUUGACUUUUCUGAUUAUCCAGGUUGACCUCGGAUCAGGUAGGGAUACCCGCUGAACUUAAGC
rnacentral:misc_RNA from 1 species